rnacentral:lncRNA from 1 species
UCAAAGGAAAUGGAAGAUGUGGUCCUCAGCUCUGCAGAAAAAUGGUGUUGGUGGUGUUUUCUGUGGGAUCAGUGAUUAGAAACAUGAAAGAAGAACAGGUCAGAGUGAUUGCAUCAGCACUUUCCCAGAUCCCACAAAAUGUUAGUUUGGAAGGAAACCAAAUACCUUAAGAUCCAAUACUCAGUGGCAUAGGUGGAUCCCACAGAAUGAAUGUCUUCACAAUCCUAGAUCAUCCCCAAACCAAAGCCUUUAUAACUUAUGGUGGAACAAUAGCAUCUAUGAGAUGAUCUACCGUGGAGUCCCUCCAUGGGCAUUCCUUUGUUUGCGGACCAACAUGAUAACAUUGCUCACAUGAAGGCCAAGGGAGCAGCUGUUAUAUUGGACUUGAGCACAAAGUCAAGUACAGAUUUGCUCGAUAUAUAGAAGACAGUCAUAUAU